rnacentral:rRNA from 1 species
GACGUAGGGCGCGAGCGUUGUCCGGAUUUAUUGGGCGUAAAGAGCUCGUAGGCGGCUUGUUGCGUCGACUGUGAAAACCCGCGGCUUAACUGCGGGCUUGCAGUUGAUACGGGCAGGCUAGAGUUCGGUAGGGGAGACUGGAAUUCCUGGUGUAGCGGUGAAAUGCGCAGAUAUCGGGAGGAACACCUGUGGCGAAGGCGGCCCCCUGGUUGGAUACUGACGCUGAUACGCGAAAGCGUGGGGAGCAAACAGG